AUUGAACGCUGGCGGCGGGCCUAACACAUGCAAGUCGAGCGGAGCGGCGGACGGGUGAGUAAUACCUAGGCAUCUUCCUGGUAGUGGGGGAUAACGUCCGGAAACGGGCGCUAAUACCGCAUACUAGCAGCUGAGCCUAGGUCGGAUUAGCUAGUUGGUGGGGUAAAGGCCUACCAAGGCGACGAUCCGAAACUGGUCUGAUAGGAUGAUCAGGCACACUGGAACUGAGACACGGUCCAGACUCCUACGGGAGGCAGCAGUGGGGAAUAUUGGACAAUGGGCGAAAGCCUGAUCCAGCAAUGCCGCGUGUGUGAAGAAGGUCUUCGGAUUGUAAAGCACUUUAAGUUGGGAGGCGGUACCAGCAGAAUAAGCACCGGCUAACUUCGUGCCAGCAGCCGCGGUAAUUC
rnacentral:rRNA from 1 species